AAGUCGUAACAAGGUUUCCGUAGGUGAACCUGCGGAAGGAUCAUUAACACGUAUCCAACGUUAAACCCCCCCGUGCACCUUCAAACACCAUACAGCGCUUCGUGACCCAUCUUGUGUCGGGAUUGAUGGUCGGAAAACCUUCCAGAGCUGGAAUACCCGAACAACUGUUAACAAUGGAUAUCUUGGCUCUC
rnacentral:misc_RNA from 1 species